UGUGUGUGUGUGUGUGUAUGUAUAUGUGUGUGUGUAUAUAUAUAUAUAUAUAUACACAUAUAUAUAUAUACACAUACACACACACA
rnacentral:miRNA from 1 species